rnacentral:lncRNA from 1 species
GCAACAGGCACUUAUGUGACGUCGGAAAGCGGAGGAGCAGAAGCUGUUCUCCCAGGGCAGUGACAGAUAGAUGUGUGAGCCGACAGGAGACAUGAGCUUCACAGUGCUUCUGGAUGAGUUCCAGCAGGUUACCUUCUUUGGUCCUCUAGACAAUUGAGAUGGCUAGUGGUGGCUGCUUGAAAUUAUUUGUUUGGUGCUGCGAGCUUAUACAGCUGGGAGCUGUGAGAGGGGUGGAGGAAGAGAUUAUUGCCUGAUGAUGAACUUUGAGAGACUGCUUUUGAGUUUUCUUACUUUAUUGCUGUGUUACAAACUGUCAGAUACUACUCGUUGUGUUACAAAGUUAACAAUGAAAAUGUUAUUGUCUGGUCUAUUCAAUUCACCUACUAAUAGAAUAAAAAUUAUUGCAGA